rnacentral:rRNA from 1 species
ACAGCAGUAGCCACGGGAAUACGGAGGGUGCAAGCGUUAUCCGGAUUCACUGGGUUUAAAGGGUGCGUAGGUGGAUCUGUAAGUCAGUGGUGAAAUCUCCAGGCUUAACCUGGAAACUGCCGUUGAUACUAUAGGUCUUGAAUUUUGUGGAGGUUAGCGGAAUAUGUCAUGUAGCGGUGAAAUGCAUAGAUAUGACAUAGAACACCAAUUGCGAAGGCAGCUGGCUACACAACUAUUGACGCUGAGGCACGAAAGCGUGGGGAUCAAACAGGAUUAGAUACCCGGGUAGUCCCUGUCUCUUAUAC